rnacentral:rRNA from 1 species
AGAGUUUGAUCCUGGCUCAGGACGAACGCUGGCGGCGUGCCUAAUACAUGCAAGUCGAACGCUUCUUUCCUCCCGAGUGCUUGCACUCAAUUGGAAAGAGGAGUGGCGGACGGGUGAGUAACACGUGGGUAACCUACCCAUCAGAGGGGGAUAACACUUGGAAACAGGUGCUAAUACCGCAUAACAGUUUAUGCCGCAUGGCAUAAGAGUGAAAGGCGCUUUCGGGUGUCGCUGAUGGAUGGACCCGCGGUGCAUUAGCUAGUUGGUGAGGUAACGGCUCACCAAGGCCACGAUGCAUAGCCGACCUGAGAGGGUGAUCGGCCACACUGGGACUGAGACACGGCCCAGACUCCUACGGGAGGCAGCAGUAGGGAAUCUUCGGCAAUGGACGAAAGUCUGACCGAGCAACGCCGCGUGAGUGAAGAAGGUUUUCGGAUCGUAAAACUCUGUUGUUAGAGAAGAACAAGGACGUUAGUAACUGAACGUCCCCUGACGGUAUCUAACCAGAAAGCCACGGCUAACUACGUGCCAGCAGCCGCGGUAAU